AUUGGUCAGACCAUAGAGCUACAGAGGAGACAGCGUGCUAGCGUAUCUAGUCUUCUAUCUGUAGCUGUGGUCGGCUCGUCUGGUAGCAUCUCUGGUUGCUGUUGAUCUUGUUUUUGGAGUAAAACACGGUGGAAGCUGAAUUAGUGAGGAUGACUCCUGCUCCUGUCAUCUCUAAGCUCCUCACACAUCUUUACCUGCACAUGAGGAAAAUCACUCCUGUAGAAUGCAGAUGUUCAGAGGGAGAUGAUGCCACAUCUGGUCCAGCUGAUGGAAGGUCUUGAAGUUCUCUGACUGGCCUCGACUGAAGAUGGUCCUCUCACUGGAUUUAAGGUUCAGAUGCUCAGUAAUAAACUCCACCAAUGAGCCAACAGGGAAGCUUUAGGUUUAUUAAAUGUUGCUCUGAAGGUAUCGCUGUUUUUCUUUGUGAAUGCAAUGUGCUCCAACUGAAACUUGAAUUAGAACUUAGAAGUAAAUCCUUCCAUCUGAAAGGGUUUACUUGCAUUAAAACCUCAUAACAUUCAAAUUUUUAUUCCAGUCUUGGUUGGAAAUAGAAUCUCUGUAUUGAUUCAGGUAAAAACUGAACUUCACAGCAUGUUGGAGCAAAACAACCAGAUGAAAACUGUGAUGGUGUUGGAUUGUCAGACCGUAAUGUUGCAGCUCAAAGCAGCUUUUCUAGCUCAGUUCAUUCUGAGAUUCAGCUAUGAAUCAACACAGCAGAUGGUGAUCCAUGCUGUGGAAGUCUCACAUCUCCUGAUUUAAUGGAGCUGCUUUACACUUUUUACACUGUUUAUUCACCAACACUUUAUUUUAUGAAAGUCCCAUCUAGUUUUUAUGAGGAAUGUGAUGUUUUAAUUUCUCUGUGAAUAACUGCAGUCUAAUGUAACAGCUGGAAUUGCAACAUCUGUCCUGAUAUUGAUCAUGAAGUAUUGAUCAGAAUACUUAUGGUUAGCAGUCGUCCCUGAAGUUUUACAUUAAAAUCUUUACUUGUGUUGUGAACUUUAGUAAGAAGCAAAAACUUUAGCGUUGCCAUGGACACGAGUGUUAAAUUCUGUCCAAAAUUUAUGACUCUGCACUACAAUAUUAUUUAUUAUUUAAAUGUACAUCAUUAUUACAAUAUUUAGGGUCAGACCUUACAGUAUUGAGAUUAAGAAAUCAAAUAUUCUUUAAAAUGUAAUUACACUGAACUCAUUUGGAUAUAUUUAAGUGAGACUACAGUAUUGUAGUAAAUCUAUCUAAAUCAAAAUUUUAAUAAUUUUCAUGCCAAACAUUUACUGGACUGAUUUAAACAUUAAAAGCACUCCUUUCUAAUCCUCUGCUGUACGUUCAAACCUGAGGCCUUAAAUCAAAACACAAGUAUCUGAUUGAAGGAACUUCUGCAGAGUCCUGGUUCCAGAACAUGAUGAUAGAAUUAUAGACAAACUUUAACAAAAGCUUCCUGAGAGUUUACAGGUUUUUAUGUUAGAUUUCUUUAGUAAUUUAAUGAGUUAUCAGCAAAAAUCAAGUGUUCAUUUGAUGAACUUCAUUUCCUAAAACAUCCAGAAUUGGAGCUCAUAUCUUUGGCAGCUGGAAAGUUUCUGCUCCUUCAAAGUUCACAACACAAUGAAUGAAUUCCUAAAACACUCUCAAUGCUGGAGAGCGUUUGUGAUGCUGAAGCAGUGAUCAGUUUUUCUGUUUCUUCUCUGGAGAUGCACAAUGAGGGACGUCUGCAACGACUGAGAAAGAGUCUCACCACAUCCUGACAUGAGGAAAAAGACUUUUUUGAAGACUACAAUGAGAAAAACUAUCAGACAGCAGACGGCUGCAUUCAAGGUGAGCUCUGAACAUUUGAUCUGGAACAGGAAUUCAAUAACGGCAGCAUGAGCUUCAUUUCAGUCUGUAGCUGCUGAAUUCAUGGAUGAAUCAUCUGGCACUAGAGAGGAAGACCAUCAAACAUCCACGUCAGCUGAUGGAGGUCCAAGAGUCUCACCCAACAAACAACCUACAGAGUGAAGACCUCGAAUCUGAUUGGACGGCCUCCUAUUCAGCCACGUGUGAACAAAUGCCUCUAAGCUGAUUUGUUUUCUAAAAUAAAUCUAGUUUGAGUCCUAA